rnacentral:rRNA from 1 species
AAGAGAGAGACAUGCGCGCAUAUCAAUAAGCGGAGGAAAAGAAACUAACUAGGAUUCCCUCAGUAACGGCGAGUGAAGCGGGAAGAGCUCAAAUUUGAAAUCUUCAAGGUUCUACCUUGACGAAUUGUAGUUUAAAGAAGUGUUUUCUGUUGGAGUUUUGGUAAAAGUUCUUUGGAAUAGGACAUCAUAGAGGGUGAGAAUCCCGUAUUUGACCAGUUACUUUCCAGCUGUGUGAUACACUUUCAAAGAGUCGGAUUGUUUGGGAAUGCAGUCCAAGAUGGGUGGUAAAUUUCAUCUAAAGCUAAAUACUGGCGAGAGACCGAUAGCGAACAAGUACCGUGAGGGAAAGAUGAAAAGAACUCUGAAAAGAGAGUUAAACAGUACGUGAAAUUGUCAAAAGGGAAGCGUUUGACACCAGUGUUGUUUUUCCGAAAAUCAAUUACGAAUGUUUUAUUUUUGAGGAGUUAUGACUUCAUCGGCUUGCUCCUUUCUUUAUGAAACUUUCUUAAUGCACUUUUCGGUUAACAAGUCAACAUCAAUUUCUUUUGUUGUAAAAGGGUAUGAGGAAGGUGGCUUUCUUUUCGGAGAAAGUGUUUAUAGCCUUGUAGCCUCUGCAAUCGGAGAGAUUGAGGUCUGCAGCGUAGAUCCUUCGGGGUUAGAUACGUUUGUGCUAAGUUAUAGCUUUUCAUAGACAACUUGUUGACUAUGUUUAGUCUUGUAGCUUACUCGCUGAUGCUAUUUUACCUACGCUUAGGAUGUUGAUAGUCACAGCGUGUAC